rnacentral:lncRNA from 1 species
GUCAUUGCUGUGCACUUGUCCCUAAAUCACACCCAGAGCCGUAAAGCAUAGAGCCACCAGCUAACUUCUGAUUGGUUCCUUGUCACGAGACAGGCAUCUGACCUCUAAGUGACCAAGCCUAGUUUAAGGUCUUUUGAUAAAGAGUUGCCAAGGGUUCAAGACAGAGUCUGAAAAAUGGUGACGGACUAUAGUGUGGCCUGAGAAGACAGUGAUCAACUUAUGAGAUUUGGAACCUAAGAUGUAACCUCAGAGCACAAGACAAUCCUAUGUCAGGAGUAAGGCCUGGAGUGGAGCGCUGCUGGGAGAAGAAGAAACUCAAGGCUCCAUCAUCAGCUGGUCACUGACUUCUUCAAAAAUGAGGAUGCCUGAGGGAGGUGGGUGCCUCAAGUCUCCCCCUUCUUCCUCUCUCCCUGUUGCUUAGAUCAUAAUUCCCAUGUAGUUUCCUUGUUGCAUUCCUUGGACUUUGGUCUUCUGUGUUUCGAUGGUGGAUUCCUAUGAAGGAACAGACCCACUAGUUGUGGCAUCCAGAUGAAAUCGAAAUGGAGGCUAAACACUGAGGAAAUGAGUUUUGCUCCCUGUGCUGGAAGAAGGCCUGGCUGCCACAGUUGUUGGACUCUGCCUCUGUGCUGUUUUUUUCAGACUGGAAAGGCGGGAGCAGGCAGGUGUGUGACUGGUGUCUUCAUUGCAGUGGGUCAACACUGCCAUCGUGCGGAAAAGCCUUCAGACAUACCUUGCACAUUCAGAAGCCGCUUCCCCAGGGCUGCUUGCAGCCGUUUUGGAGCAAUCGCCAUCAGGAAUCGCUUCUUGCGCCAUGGCUAA